rnacentral:rRNA from 1 species
AUUGAACGCUGGCGGCAGGCCUAACACAUGCAAGUCGAGCGGAUGAAGGUAGCUUGCUCCUGGAUUCAGCGGCGGACGGGUGAGUAAUGCCUAGGAAUCUGCCUGGUGGUGGGGGAUAACGUCCGGAAACGGGCGCUAAUACCGCAUACGUCCUGCGGGAGAAAUUGGGGGAUCUUCGGACCUCACGCUAUCAUAUUAGCCUAGGUCGGAUUAGCUAGUUGGUGGGGUAAAGGCCUACCAAGGCGACGAUCCGUAACUGGUCUGAGAGGAUGAUCAGUCACACUGGAACUGAGACACGGUCAAGACUCAGACGGGAGGCAGCAGUGGGGAAUAUGGGAAAAUGGGAGAAAGCCUGAUCCAGACAUGCCGAGUGUGUGAAGAAGGUCUUCGGAUUGUAAAGCACUUUAAGUUGGGAGGAAGGGCAGUAAGUUAAUACCGUGCUGUUUUGACGUUACCAACAGAAUAAGCACCGGCUAACUUCGUG